rnacentral:rRNA from 1 species
CGUUUAUUUGAUAGUACCUUACUACUUGGAUAACCGUGGUAAUUCUAGAGCUAAUACAUGCUGAAAACCCCAACUUCGGGAGGGGUGUAUUUAUUAGAUAAAAAACCAACGCCCUUCGGGGCUUCUUGGUGAUUCAUGAUAACUUUACGGAUCGCAUGGCCUUGCGCCGGGCGACGGUUCAUUCAAAUUUCUGCCCUAUCAACUUUCGAUGGUAAGGUAUUGGCUUACCAUGGUUUCAACGGGUAACGGGGAAUUAGGGUUCGAUUCCGGAGAGGGAGCCUGAGAAACGGCUACCACAUCCAAGGAAGGCAGCAGGCGCGCAAAUUACCCAAUCCCGACACGGGGAGGUAGUGACAAUAAAUACUGAUACAGGGCUCUUUUGGGUCUUGUAAUUGGAAUGAGUACAAUUUAAACCUCUUAACGAGGAACAAUUGGAGGGCAAGUCUGGUGCCAGCAGCCGCGGUAAUUCCAGCUCCAAUAGCGUAUAUUAAAGUUGUUGCAGUUAAAAAGCUCGUAGUUGAACCUUGGGUCUGGCUGGCAGGUCCGCCUCACCGCGUGUACUUGUCCGGCCGGGCCUUCCUUCUGGAGAACCUCAUGCCCUUCACUGGGCGUGUUGGGGACCAGGACUUUUACUUUGAAAAAAUUAGAGUGUUCAAAGCAGGCCUUUGCUCGAAUACGUUAGCAUGGAAUAAUAGAAUAGGACGUGCGGUCCUAUUUUGUUGGUUUCUAGGACCGCCGUAAUGAUUAAUAGGGACAGUCGGGGGCAUCAGUAUUCAAUUGUCAGAGGUGAAAUUCUUGGAUUUAUUGAAGACUAACUACUGCGAAAGCAUUUGCCAAGGAUGUUUUCAUUAAUCAGUGAACGAAAGUUAGGGGAUCGAAGACGAUCAGAUACCGUCGUAGUCUUAACCGUAAACUAUGCCGACUAGGGAUCGGGCGAUGUUCUUUUUCUGACUCGCUCGGCACCUUACGAGAAAUCAAAGUUUUUGGUUCUGGGGGA